rnacentral:lncRNA from 1 species
UUUUCCCGGAAUUUCUGUUUCCCAAACUGUGGGAAUCACUGCUUCCUCUACUUCUCUAGGUAUUCGGCCUUUGGACUGUCCUUUAACACUAGUAUCUGUCCGGAUUGUGAUUCCGGUACCUGCAUAAUCAAUUCUCCAUUUUCAAAAAUAAUUUUAGCGUUUAAUUUUGAUAAUAAAUCUCAUCCCAACAGGGAAACGGGACAGUCCGGCAUGUAUAGAAACUCAUGUAUCAAUUCCUUUCCCCCAAACCGUAAUUCCAGGGGUCGCAUGAAUGGCCGCACUUCCUCUCUCCCUGUGGCCCCUAUUACGGUGGUAGUCUUAUCCCCUAUUUUCCCAUACAGGUCAUUUAACACAGAAUAAGUUGCACCAGUAUCGACUAAAAAUUGUACCUCCUCUUCCCCCAGCCUUAUUUUCACUAGUGGUUCACCCUUUUCCGAUUCUAGUCAGCUCUGACUCCCAUAUUCUUCCAGAACCAUGGCUUUUGCCACCUCGGAUUCCCCGAAGGAGUAUCCAGAUUGCGGAUUCUGUCUCAGUCUCUGAGGGCAUUCAUUUUUCCAAUGCCCCUCCUGUUUACAAUAGGCACAUUGAUUAAUGCCUAAUAUGCCUGAUCCUGACCCUGGAUUAUUAAGUGUUCCAAAUCCUCUUCCUCGCCCACGCAUUAUUCCUCUACCUCUACCCCUAUUACCAGGGGUACCUUGUCCUUUGCCUUGUAUAUCUCGCUGUCGGGUCCGAUGUGAAACUGCGGUGACGGGACAUUCCCGUUCUUUUCUACAUUCACAUCCUUUAUCUACUUCUAGAUUCUCGUCAUCACUGUCAUCCCUUACUUUCCUGCUUCUUAAAGCAGGUGGGGUUGACGGGGCUGGUGGGGCUAUCAACAAAUCAGAAUCAUCAUCAUCUUUCUGAAAUGUUGAACUUGCCCACGUCGGCGCUGCUCACCCUGCCGCUGCCGCUCUUUUGUCCUUGGCGGCGGGGCUCGCCGCGCCUGCGGAGGUGGGAGGCGACGUCAGUUGCCGCAGCGGGCGCCGCGGACACGUCACGUGGCCCAGGCGCGCGGGUCGGGGGGCGCGCGCGGACAAAGGUGGGACCCGCGGCGGGGUGGGGGGGAGGGAGUGGUGUGUGUGGGACGGGACACGGGACGUGAGCGCUGCCGCUGCCACGGCCCGCUCCGACCGCCGCGGACACGGCGGAGCUACGGGCACCGCCGCGCCCUCCCGACACCCCCCCCCCCCCGAUAGCGGGGCGCAGACUGAUGCAACACCGGCGGGCGAUUGUCACACCGCCGGACGGCGCUUCCCGCGCCGCGGCCGCCUCUGUGUUUACCUCCCCUCUUCCCCACCGGCGACACCGGGCAUCCCCGGCGCUUUCAAUGGGAAAAUGCAAACCAGUCGCGGGACUUCAUCGCGCCGCAGCCGCUCGGGGUUUUUCCAUCCCGGCGGCGUGUCCCUGGGCGCACCCGCCACCGCGUGUCCCGGCGGAGCACGGCGGGACUGGGCGGCAAGGUGGGAGGCUUCCGCCGGUAAAGGCUGCGCCCUGAAAGUCGCCCCGUUCCUCCUGCCGCGCCGUACCUUCUCCACAAGGUCCGGAAAGCAAAACAUUAUUCACAGCCAUGCAUCCCAUACAUUUCUUCUCACCCACACAGCCUUUACAUUGUUCAUUCGAUUUUGCACUAACAACCAUUAUUCCACACGCCUUUCUCCAUUCAUCAUUGUCUCUUAACAUAAAGAACAGUUCCACAUAUGGGACCUCGUCCCAUUUUCCUUCCCGUUUGCAAAAUAACAUUAAUUGCAUAAUCGUAUCAUAAUCUAAAGUUCCAUUCUCCAGCCAACGGACUUGAUCCUCUAAUGCAUAUUGCGUCCACCACACAUUACAGUAAUCAAUCAAUUUCCCUUUUUGCAUCUCUUGUCC